AUUGAACGCUGGCGGAAUGCUUUACACAUGCAAGUCGAACGGUAGAGGGGGCAACCCCUCGAGAGUGGCGAACGGGUGAGUAAUAUAUCGGAACGUGGCCAGUCGUGGGGGAUAACGUAGCGAAAGUUACGCGAAUACCGCAUACGAACAAAGGAUGAAAGCGGGGGAUGGCAAGACCUCGGGCGAUUGGAGCGGCCAGUAUAAGAUUAGGUAGUUGGUGGGGUAAAGGCUCACAAAGCAAACGAUCUGAAGCUGGGCUUAGAGGACGACCAGCCACACUGGAACUGAGACACGGUGCAGACUCCUACGGGAGGCAGCAGUGGGGAAUUUUGGACAAUGGACGCAAGUCUGAUCCAGCCAUUCCGCGUGCAGGAUGAAGGCCCUCGGGUUGUAAACUGCUUUUGUACGGAACGAAAAGGUCUCUCUUAAUACGGGGGGCUCAUGACGGUACCGUAAGAAUAAGCACCGGCUAACUACGUGCCAGCCGCCGCAGUAA
rnacentral:rRNA from 1 species